AAACUGCCCUGAGACCCCGAAAUAUCCCCUGGGACCCAAAAAUAUCCCCUGGGACCCCAAAAACUGCCCUGGGACCCAAAAUAUCCCUUGGGACCCCAAAAUGUCAUCCUGGGACCCCAAAAUAUCCACCAGGGACCCCAAAAACUGACCUGGGACCCCAAAAACUGCCCUGGCAACUGAAAAUACCCACAGGGACCCCAAAAUAUCCCCAGCAUUUGGGACACCGGAGCUGGUGGCUGAGGCACAGGGGGGUGGCCCUGUCCCUGUCCCUGUCCCAUCCCUGUCCCCUCUCCCUGUCCCUGUCCCCUGCAGCACCCAGGGGUGCUGGGGAUCAGCGUCUCUGUGUCCCCAUGGUGUCCCCAAGGUGUCCCCACAGGUGAUGGGACACAAAGGGCGGGUGACAAAGGCUCAGGGGGUGACAGUGGCGUUGUCCCUGUGUCCCCAUGGUGACGCUGUCCCCAGUGUCCCCGUGGUGACCCUGUGCCCCAUGUCCCCCGUGUCCCCGCAGGUGAUGGGCCGCAAGGGCCCGGUGGCCGAGGCGCAGGGCGUGGAGGUGGCGCUGGCCCCCGAGGAGCUGGAGCUGGACCCCACGGCCAUGACGCAGAAGUACGAGGAGCACGUGCGCGAGCAGCAGGCGCAGGUGGAGAAGGAGGAUUUCAGCGACAUGGUGGCCGAGCACGCCGCCAAGCAGAAGCAGAAGAAGCGGAAGGCGCAGCCCCAGGACGCUCGUGGGGGGGGCAAGAAGU
rnacentral:lncRNA from 12 species